rnacentral:rRNA from 1 species
AACGAACGCUGGCGGCGCGCCUAAUACAUGCAAGUCGAGCGAGAAGACGUAGCAAUACGUUUGUAAAGCGGCGAACGGGUGAGGAAUACAUGGGCAACCUACCCUCGAGUGGGGAAUAACUAGCCGAAAGGUUAGCUAAUACCGCGUACGCUCCUUGGACUUCGGUUCAGGGAGGAAAGCGAUACCGUGGGUAUCGCGCUCUUGGAUGGGCUCAUGUCCUAUCAGCUUGUUGGGAGGUAACGGCUCACCAAGGCUUCGACGGGUAGCUGGUCUGAGAGGACGAUCAGCCACACUGGCACUGCGACACGGGCCAGACUCCUACGGGAGGCAGCAGUAAGGAAUAUUGCGCAAUGGGCGAAAGCCUGACGCAGCGACGCCGCGUGGGGGAUGAAGGUCUUCGGAUUGUAAACCCCUUUCGGGAGGGAAGAUGGAACGAGCAAUCGUUCGGACGGUACCUCCAGAAGCAGCCACGGCUAACUUCGUGCCAGCAGCCGCAGUAA